CCUGCCCCACCCCUGGCAACCACUAUUCUGCUUUCUGUGUAUUUGACUCCUCUAGGCACCUCCUAUAAGUGGAAUCAUCCAAUAUUUGCUGCUGAUUAAUUUUAGACUCUUGCUCUGAUCAUAAUCUUAACCAGUCACUUGAAAAAACAAAUGAACUUUCUCAUACCAACACAACAUCGUUUGCAGUUUAAUUAACAGUGCUAGAAGCGAAAGGGGCUCUAAUUUUAAAACAAAAGCAGCCCCAAAUAAGCAAGAGGAGAUUUGCUCACACAGAGGGCCACAGCAGGUCACUGGAAGACAAGAAAUCCAGGCAAGCUGGAAUAAAAACCCUGCGAACUGGCUGCAGCUGCUUAAAGCCCUGCGUUCCUCAAGCUGUACCAGGCGGAGUUCAGCUGUGCCUGCCCCCUCACAAGGGCUGCCGGCUGCCCAGCACUGCCGCGGGACAUGGGCCAAGACACUGGGAAACGGCCCAAGCCAGGCUCUCACACACUGGCUCUGUGUGACCUUGAGCUCCUCAAAUGGCCCAUCUACUGACAGUUCUGGGUGUACUCUGAUGCUUUCGCAAAAAUGUUCCUAUAAAAGGGUUCCAUCUUCAAGGAAUUCAUGGAAAAGACUCUGACGAGGACAGGUUUCUGGUAGCUGACUAUACUGCUGAACUGAAUGAAUAAGCAUUUUCAGAACUCUAAUGGAAAACUGAUGAAUUUAUAAAAGUGCUAACAAAAGAUCAAGAUGAAAAAAAAUU